rnacentral:lncRNA from 1 species
AUUAAUAAACUUCGGAAAUUCAUAACUUCUUCAUACGAACUCCGUUUUCGACGUUCUUUAUAUCCACGCGAAGGUGAGACCACGCUCUACGACUUUCGUUUAGACUCCGUCGGCUAAUUUUGACUUUAUUUUUAUUAAUUAUUUUUAAUAGGCCGGGACAGAAACUUUCGUUAUAAAUUCAUAACUUCUUCGUUUGACGUCCGUUCUCGCCUAACUUUUUAUCGUUUCAAUACCAACAAUGAGAUCUUCGAUUCUCAUUUAGAUUGCUUCGGCUAACAACCGCUCGAUCUCAAAUCGAGUAAAACAGGCUGUAUAUCGCUAAGCCGGAACUUCGAUAAAUCAUAACUUCCUCAUACGAAGUCAGAUUUGGGCGUUCUAUAUAUAUUCGGAAACCUCGUUUCAACUACUACAACAUUAACCAAAUAUAUUAAGUUUAUUUUACACUUAAAUUUUGACGCUUAUUUUUAUUCUUAAUUAAUCAAACCACAUAAUUAAGCAAUUAAGCACAAAACACACAAUACUCAAAUAAUACAAUCUUAUUAUUUCAAAACGGGUUACAGAGGUUAACCUAGACUAUUACAUUGCUACAAAUGGCAAGCCCGAAACACAGGCGUUACAAUUCUCUCCACCUUAGAAUGAUUCCGUCCCCGGAAUCACACAUCAACAAACAAAUGCGGAUAGCGACUCAACAUGUCACUCUCCGUCUCCCAGGUGAGAUUCGGCCCAUUCGUGUGUUUCCAUCGGACAAGCACUAACCCAACCAUUUUGCGUCGCAACUUCUUAGUCUUUCGGUCAACAAUUGCCUCUGGUUCUUCAAUCAACCUUUUGUUCUCAUCAAUUCUCAAUUCAGAAAUUGGAAUUAUAUCGGGAACUUCUCCCGUGAACUUCCUCAAAUAACACACAUGAAAGGUGUUGUGAAUUCCAUUCAGUUCUUCGGGUAAUUCGAGCUUGUAAGCUUGAUUCCCAAUCCUCUGAAGGACUCUAAACGGUCCAAUAAACCUUGGACUCAACUUUCCCCUUUUACCAAAUCUUAUAAGUCCCUUCCACGGCGAGACUUUAAGCAAAACCGAAUCUCCAACCUCAAAAGUCAUCGGUCUUCGCUUCUUGUCAGCAUAGCUCUUUUGACGAUCUUGAGCUGCUAACAUUCUUUCCCUAAUUAUUUUCAACUUUUCAGCAGUUUGAUGAACCAACUCCGGUCCCAUAAACUGCUUUUCCCCAGCCUCAAGCCAACAAGACGGCGUACGACACUUCUGUCCAUACAAAGCUUGAUAAGGUGCCAUCUUAAUGCUCGAGUGAAAACUAUUAUUAUAGGAAAAUUCUACCAACGGUAAAUGUUCAUCCCAAUUACCUAGGAAUUCCAAGGUACAUGCUCUCAGCAUAUCUUCAAGUGUUUGUAUUGUUCUUUCACUCUGACCAUCAGUCUGCGGAUGGUAAGCUGUGCUUAAACAUAACUUGGUACCCAUUUCCUCUUGUAGACUUUUCCAAAACCUUGAGGUGAAACGGCUAUCACGAUCCGAUACAAUCGUUAACGGAACACCGUGAAGCCUCACAAUUUCCUUCACGUAAGAAUUCGCAAGCUUUUCCAUAGACCAUUUCUCCCUGGCCGCUAUGAAAUGCGCACUCUUAGUGAAUCGAUCAACGACCACCCAAAUCAUGUCGUGACCAUUCUUUGUUCUGGGCAGUUUAGUGACAAAAUCCAUAGCAAUGUCUUCCCACUUACCCAUAGGCACAGGCAAAGGUUCUAAACUCCCGUACGGUUUCUGAUGUUGUGUCUUGACUCUCGCACAAGUCACACACUCGGCCACAUACUUUGCAACAUCAAGCUUCAUCGUCGGCCACCAGUAGUAGGGUUUCAGGUCCCUAUACAUUUUAGUGCUACCCGGAUGAAUCGAGUACAUGGUCUUGUGAGCUUCUUCCAUCAGAAGAUCUCUAAUUCCUCCUGACUUAGGUACCCAAAUACGAUCUUGGAAUACCUUCAGUCCAUGACCGUUAGUACCAAACACCAACGUUUUACCCAAACGUUCCUCCUUUCGGUCAUUUUUCUCAGAAGCUUCCUCUUGAGCUUUCUUUAUACUUUCCACAAUGGUCGAGACAACUUCAAUUCUCAACGCUCUUGGCCUCUUCCUUUCAAGAUUGACCUUCCGACUGAGAGCAUCAGCAACAACAUUAGCUUUACCGGGGUGGUAAAGUAUCUCGCAGUCGUAGUCUUUAAGUAAUUCUAGCCAGCGUCGUUGCCUCAUAUUCAAUUCUUUCUGAUUAAAGAGGUAUUGGAGACUCUUAUGAUCAGUGAAAAGUUUGCACUUCGUGCCAUAGAGGUAAUGCCUCCAUAUUUUCAGAGCGAAAACUACCGCUGCCAACUCCAAAUCAUGAGUCGGGUAAUUCUUUUCAUGCUCUUUCAGCUGUCGAGACGCAUAUGCUAUCACCUUUUCUCUUUGGGUCAAAACACAACCCAAUCCAACACCAGACGCAUCGCUAUAAACAGCGAAGUCUUCAACUCCAUCGGGUAGAGAAAGUAUCGGUGCCUCGCAUAGCUUCUUCUUUAACUUCUCGAAUGCUUCUUUAUGCUUCUCACUCCAAGCAUAAGUAGCUCCUUUGUGGGUCAAAGCUGUUAAUGGAGUAGCAAUCGAAGAAAAGCCUUGGAUAAACCUUCGGUAAUAUCCGGCUAAUCCUAAAAAGCUUCGAAUCUCCGUGGGACUUUUCGGUUGUUCCCACUUCGUCACAGCUUCGAUCUUCGCUGGAUCAACCAUUAUCCCUUCUUGGUUGACCACGUGACCCAAGAAUUGGACUUCACGAAUCCAAAAAUCACAUUUGGAGAACUUCGCAUAAAGCUUCUCCUUCUUCAAAACUUCUAACACUUCUCGCAAGUGUCUGCCAUGCUCCUCCUGGCUUUUCGAGUAGAUCAGAAUGUCGUCUAUGAACACUAUCACGGAUUUAUCAAGGAAAGGAUUACAAACCCUAUUCAUCAAAUCCAUGAACGCUGCUGGAGCAUUGGUUAGUCCAAACGACAUAACCAAGAACUCGUAGUGUCCAUAUCUAGUUCUGAAUGCAGUCUUCUCGAUAUCUUGCUCUCUUACUUUCAGCUGAUGAUAUCCUGACCUAAGAUCGAUCUUCGAGAAAUAGCUCGAACCUUGCAAUUGAUCAAACAGGUCAUCAAUCCUCGGCAACGGAUAUCUAUUCUUUAUUGUUGCCUUGUUCAGCUCUCUGUAAUCGAUGCACAUUCUCAUACUUCCAUCUUUCUUCUUUACAAAUAACACCGGAGCUCCCCAGGGCGAUGAACUAGGUCUAAUGAAACCUUUGUCCAAUAACUCCUGAAGUUGCAUCAUUAGCUCCUUCAUCUCCGUCGGUGCUAAUCGAUAAGGUGCUUUUGCUAUUGGCGUGGUUCCUGGUAACAAGUCUAUUCUGAACUCCACUUGUCUAUCAGGUGGUAAUCCAGGAAGAUCCUCGGGAAAUACUUCCGGAUAAUCACACACCACUGGAAUGCUCUGCAUCACCUUCUUUUCUUUCUUAGCAUCAAUCACGAAUGCUAAAUAUGAUGUACAUCCCUUGGUCAAACACUUUCUGGCUUUCAUUAGAGAAAUGAUUCCAGAAUUCACUCUGCGUUUGUCCCCAUACACCAUAAACGAAUCUUUUCCAGGCGGGUUUACUUUAACUAUCUUCUUCUUGCACAAAAUUUCGGCAUCAUUGGCGCUAAGCCAAUCCAUUCCCAAGACGAUGUCGAAACCAUUUAGUUCGAUAGGCAAUAAUUCCUCGUGAAACUUAUUCCCAUUAAGGUCGAUUAAGAUGUUUUUCAUACGAUGGCUAACAGGUACAAACUUGCCACUAGCUACUUCGACUAAUAAAGCAUCAUCUAGUCUAUCAAUAGGCAAAGAUAGCUUUCUACCAAACUCAUGCGAAAUAAAGGAGUAGUUGGCUCAGAAUCAAACAAAAUUUGAGCAGGUAAUUCGUUUACGAGAAAAGUACCUGAAGCGACAUCAGCUUCAUCUUUCGCAACCUCAAGUGUCAUCUAGAAGGCUCUCGCCUUCGGCUUUGGUGGAAUGUUGGGCCUAGCUGCCUCCUUCUUCUUCGGACAGUCUUUCAAAAUAUGCCCCUCUUCAUUACAACCAAAACACAUCCUUUUGUUGUUCGGACAUUCAUUGGCAAAAUGUCCAACCUUUCCACACUUGUAGCAGGUCACAUCCUCGCUACAUUUCCCAAAGUGCUUUUUCUUACACUUAUCACACCACUUCGCUUCGCCUCCUUUUCCUCCAAACUUUUUCGAAUCAGAUUUCGAAAAUUUGCUCUUCUUACUGGAACCAGAUGUUCCUUCAAACUUCCUUUUCUCACCAACCUCAACCUUGACGGUGGUUCUCCCCUUGAUCAUGUUCUCCACAGACUUGGCAGCCCAGAUAGCUGCCUCUAGAGUAAGUGCCUGACGUACCGGCACCUCGUACUCCCAUGGAAGUCCCUUCGCAUACCGAUCCACCUUUGUCAGCUCGUCUGGAACGAUACGCAAGGCAAACUCCAUCUUAUCGGUGAAGUUAUUGGUGUACUCAUCCACUGACAUGCUACCCUUCGUCAAUGUCAAAAACUUGUUCUCCAACUCCAACAGAUUUUGAGCCGAGCAGAACUUGCGCUUGAACUGCACCAAGAACUCUGCCCAUGACAAUUGCAGUGGCUCAUUAGGGCUUAAGGUCUUCCCUAGAGUGUUCCACCAACGAACGGCUCCACCUCGGAAUUGUCGCACGGCAUAGAUAGUCUGCAACUUGCCUCUACAGCCACAUGUCAUAAAGGCUAACUCCAUUUCGGAGAUCCAAUCCAUAACCCCAAUCGGAUCCUCCUUUCCAUUGAAGGUCGAUGGUUUACAAGUCAAAAAGUCCUUGUACUUGCAUCCCAUUCCAUCAUUCCUUCCAUCAUGGUUAUCUUGCCUAACUAUCGGUGGGUUGGCUGGACCAACAGACCCACUGAAGUUUCCACCUUCCGAGUGCCCUUCAUUCAGUUCAGGCUCUUCCACACGAAUCGACAGUUCUUCACGAUUUUGUUGAAGCAACCGUCUAGUUUCAUCCAUCUGACGAUCCAACAUCGUCUGAAUCAUCAAUUGCACACCAGCCAUGGUUAUUGGCUCAGGUGCUGCUGCUACGACAGGUAUUGGCUCAAUCACUGGUGGUUGAUUCCUGUUUUCGUCAGCAUUUCCAACUCCACUUCUUGUUCUCACCAUUUUGAUCUACACCGAAUAAGGUGAAAUUAGAUCCUCAAUCAUGAUAGAUAUUCAAAUCAUCCUUAUCACUCCGAAACGUUUACAUGCUAGUUCUAAUAUCGUAGACGUACGCUUAGAAUCCUACACACAUAAGGUUUCUAGAUCCGGUCGGCAACAGACCAUAGAUCCGAACAAAUAAUAUCAUAUAUGGCAACAUAUAACAUUUAGCACAUAAAGCAUUUUAGGCAACUUUCCUAAAAUAAACUAGUGCUCGUGUCUAAAUCACAACAGACACACAUCUCAAAACUUCACUUAGCAUUCUAAGUUUAAGUCUAGAAAUCCUACAAAUUCCUAGUUCGCUUAAACUAAUGCUCUGAUACCAACUGUGACAUCCCCAAAAUCUCGGCCAGAAAAGACCGAUUUUCAUUUAUGCUUUUAAAUAUUUUCAGAGUAAAUCCUUUUGAUUUGAAAGAGUUGCGGAAUUUGUUCCCAAAAACAAAACAUGAUAAAACAUUGUUUACCGAAGCAUUUCAUAAAAGAAAUGUAUUUUCAUUAUAAUCAAAACUCGGGGUGUCAUGUUCCGAUACAGACCAAUAAGCAUAAACGAAUACAUUACAAGUCAUAUAACAAAUAUAAACAUAUGCAGACUUGUAAACAAAACAACUUGAUGGUUCAUCCAUCUCAUGCCCUUCCGCCACUACCUGUAAUACAAUUUAAAACUGAGUGGGUCAGGCUUGGGAGCCUGGUGAGCAUAUAGGGUUUUCAACCCACAAUAAAUAUCAUAUUUAAUUUUCACCAACCAACAAUAACCCAAUUACCCAUUCCCGUUAUUCUCACUUUAAUGUCCCUAAAACAACUAACAUAAGGGACCUAGUCUAAGAAUAUUUCAUCGGGGCGACAACACAUGCUUCGGGGGUACCUCAGCAAUAUAAGUCAAAUAAGGCAACCAUGAGGGGGAUGGAGUACAGCGAAUGAACACCCAAGUUCAUUAACACCUACAGGUGGCGAACCUGCUAAUGUUUCCACAAGACUGUCUAGAAUAGCCAGUGGUCGUCAUCUAAACUCCGCUAGAUGACUCAAUCAAACAACAACGAGGCCUCUCAUCUGUUUAUUACACACCAACUGUCUACCCAUGUUCUACCCAACAUAUUAGUAGAUAAAAAUAUACAUUUGUAUACAUAGUUUAAAGAAAACCUGUAUAGCAUGCUUUAAUCAACACAUAUAUCACAUAACAGAUGAGGCACACACACACAUAACACAUAUCUCAUAAAGAAAUAAGCAGAUCUAUAAGAUAGAAGAGAGUGAAUACUCAUUCACACAUAACACAACCAAAUAUAUACACAUAGCACGUAUUUUUAUAUAAAAUACUUCGUAUUAUUGUAUUAGAAGAAAUAACUACACACUCACUUGAUCAGAAGACGAUCCGACAGCACUACGGCUUAUAGAAGUAGUAUUCCACAGCAGAUCUGGAAGAUCUCCUCGAAAAUCGAACUUCUCGCGGGCAGAGCUUCGACUCGGGAACCGCACUUUUCGGGAUCUUCGGGAUCUCGGGACUUGCCUCGGGGCUAGAGUAUGAUACCGGGACUUCGGGGUAGCUUCGGGGGUUUUUGCACAGAGCUUCGACACGAAAACGAGAGGGAAUUGGCAAAAAUACCCGGAACCCUCGCAUCCUAUUUAUAGGAGGCUGGAGCCUCGGAGUACGCGGGGCGUACUGCGUUACGCGGGGCGUACUGCCCAAAACGUCAUUGCUUACGUAUCCGAAGUGCUCGAGUGCGAGUGUCGACAUUCCUCGGUGUACGCGGGGCGUACUUCGGAUGAGUCCGAUGACUCCUCUUCGGAUAAUGCCGGAUUUUCCAAUUAAAUUUAAAUACAAAAUAUUUAAUAAACUUCGGAAAUUCAUAUCUUCUUCAUACGAACUCCGUUUUCGACGUUCUUUAUAUCCACGCGAAGGUGAGACUACGCUCUACAACUUUCGUUUAGACUCCGUCGGCUAAUUUCGACUUUAUUUUUAUUAAUUAUUUUUAAUAGGCCGGGACAGAAACUUUCGUUAUAAAUUCAUAACUUCUUCGUUUGACGUCCGUU